GACUUUCACUUCCUUGGCCAAGGGUUUUUUCUGAUCUGGAGCAUUCUGUAUGUAGGAUGGUACAUCGGCAGGUUGCCACAAUUGCUUGGUUGGAAGCUGAUUCUGUGUGUGGCAGUCACUAUGUU